rnacentral:lncRNA from 1 species
AUGUCUCUAGAAAAAAAAGAAAAGUAUAAUAAGAGGAAAGAAAGGACAAAGAAAGCAAGAGAAGUUCAUGUUGACUUGGUACAGAAGUCACAUCCUGGGGUGAGCAACACAUGUGUGAAUGAUUCCACAAGUGUUUCCAAGGGAAAGCAUGUGGCAUUUCACCUGAGUUAUGUAUUGUUUCAAACAUCCAGUGGAGGGUUUCUGGUAUCUCUCUUGAACUCUGGUGAGCUCAUGUCUGAAGCAGUUUGGUGAAGUGUGAGCCAGAUGUAGCCAGAUGGGUUGGGAGCUACAGAGGGGGCAGGCAAAAGUGAUGUGAAGAAUGCUCAAAGGGCCAGCCCGUCUGAUUUAUAAAGAGAAGCAUUGAGGGUGUAAAGGCAUGUAUACAAAUACCUGCAGUUAUCCAACACAUGGGGACCCUGAGGAGGAAGCAGGAUCUUGGCACUUUAUAACACUUGGAAUUAACAAUUUGGACAACAACUAAAAAGAAAAACAUGAAUCCAAUAUUUCUGAUGCCAGUAAAAUCUCCUUGGCUCUGGAAUAGUCAUUUUCCGUGAAGUGCAGCCCUCUCACAUGCACAAACUUGCUGAAAACAAAACGAUGAAGCACCAGGAAGCUGACAGCCAGUCAUUU